GACAAACGCUGGCGGCGUGCCUAAAACAUGCAAGUCGAACGGACUCUUCGGAGUCAGUGGCGGACGGCUGAGUAACACGUUGGUACCUACCCUCGAGUGGGGAAUAACUGGCCGAAAGGUCGGCUAAUACCGCAUAAUACCGCAAGGUUAAAGUAGUAAUACGCUCGGGGAGGGCCUGCGUCCCAUUAGCUAGUUGGUAGGGUAAUGGCCUACCAAGGCGACGAUGGGUAGCUGGAUCGAGAGGUGACCAGCCACACUGGGACUGAGAUACGGCCCAGACUCCUACGGGAGGCAGCAGUAAGGAAUCUUCCACAAUGGACGAAAGUCUGAUGGAGCAACGCCGCGUGCAGGAUGACGGCC
rnacentral:rRNA from 1 species